AAAGGACAAGAGGAGGGGUGACGGGAGAUCUUUCUUUGCCAGGAAGCAAAAAGUCAACUUGACAUUGCAUAUUUUCUUAGAAUCCAGUGACUUGUUUAUGCCAAGUGUUGAAAACUCAUGCCAAUGAAUGACAUAUUGGUAUGUAUUAUCAUGUCAUAAUUGUGUAAUCAUGCAAUUUUGAAAAAGUAUAAAAGUGGGUCUAAAACUCAUGUCGGAGAGCUUGUGUUUGAGAAUUGUGUCUCUGGACAACCUCCCAAGCAGCUGCUUGAAAUAAAGCUAUCUACUCAAAGCAUCAAUUCUGUGUCUUGAGAGUGUUGGUGUAGAGGACCUCAAAGUAUUGAACUAAGCAGGGGCAUGCCCAGUUGGGCUCCUGCAACAAUUGGAGGUUCCACCGAGGUUCUGGGACAUUCCCAACUCCUGCCCAAGGAGGCCUAGGACGGAGGAACGGAGGCACGCCGACUAAAAAGUGACCGAUGGGCCAACCCUUCUGCCCGCCCCCAUUUUUUGUCUCUGUUCACCCAAUGAAAAUGGUCUUGCUACACUCCUGGAAAAGGUGCAGGUCUAAGAAAGAUGGAAGGGAAACUAUAAGGAGCCUUGAGCAGAUUCCUUCUGGACUGGAAGGCCAUCUAUCAACAUUGGAGUGAGGGAAAUGCUCUAGUCGUGGCCAUUGCAACCUGAAGGCACUUUGAUCAACAUUCAAGGGAGCCCAAAUUCACUGCUCAUUCUUUGAUGCAUCUCUGACUAUUCCUCAGGCCUGCAAGAUUUAUGAUGCUUCCACUUUGCUGAGAAGCUGUCAUUCUCUGUGUACUUAUGCCUUGUCUCAUUUUACUCCUCAUUCAUCUGUCAUUUCACUCUUCUGCACAAAAUGUAUUGUUCACCUUUCUGAAGCUGCUCAACAUGGAAAGGCUUCCCUGCACUCCUCUUCCCCCUACAAUAAACCUCAUCUAUCUGCAUCCAAA